rnacentral:rRNA from 1 species
UACGUAGGGUGCGAGCGUUGUCCGGAAUUAUUGGGCGUAAAGAGCUCGUAGGCGGUUUGUCGCGUCGGCCGUGAAAACUUGGGGCUUAACUCCAAGCUUGCGGUCGAUACGGGCAGACUAGAGUUCGGUAGGGGAGUCUGGAAUUCCUGGUGUAGCGGUGAAAUGCGCAGAUAUCAGGAGGAACACCGGUGGCGAAGGCGGGACUCUGGGCCGAUACUGACGCUGAGGAGCGAAAGCGUGGGGAGCAAACAGG